rnacentral:rRNA from 1 species
AGCCUUUAGAAGUUAUUUUAGGUUUGACCUGCCCAAUGCGUAAGUGAAUGGCCGCGGUACCCUGACCGUGCUAAGGUAGCGUAAUCAGUUGGCUUUUAAAUGGAGUCAGGUAUGAAUGGGAGAACCGGGCUCAGCUGUCUUUAGACUACUUUAUUGAAUUUACCCUUUAGGUGAAAAGGCCUAAGUGAAGAAAAGGGACGAGAAGACCCUUAGAAUUUUUUUUAAUGGGGAAGUUUUCUUUAAUGAUUUUGUUGGGGCGAUAAUUAUACAUAUUGAAACUUCAAGUUUUAUACAUGCCGAUUUUCAUAAGAAAGAAUAAAUUACCUGAGGGAUAACAGCAUAAUU